rnacentral:rRNA from 1 species
AACGAACGCUGGCGGCAUGCCUAACACAUGCAAGUCGAACGAGACCUUCGGGUCUAGUGGCGCACGGGUGCGUAACGCGUGGGAACCUGCCCUUAGGUUCGGAAUAACUCCCCGAAAGGGGUGCUAAUACCGGAUAAUGUCUUCGGACCAAAGAUUUAUCGCCUUUGGAUGGGCCCGCGUUGGAUUAGCUAGUUGGUAGGGUAAAAGCCUACCAAGGCGACGAUCCAUAGCUGGUCUGAGAGGAUGAUCAUCCACAAUGGGACUGAGACACGGACCAGAAUCCUACGGGAGGCAGCAGUGGGGAAUAUUGGACAAGGGGGGAAAGCCUGAUCCAGCAAUGCCGCGUGAGUGAUGAAGGCCUUAGGGUUGUAAAGCUCUUUUAACCGGGAUGAUAAUGACAGUACCGGGAGAAUAAGCUCCGGCUAACUCCGUG